GAAACAAAAACUGGAUAUUGUUCAGCGGAGCUUUGCAUUCUGCAAAGAGAAUUCUGACAAUGGGCUUUGGAUUCCCUACCCAAAUAACUUUAGGGUCUAUCUGUGAGGAGCAGAUCCGGUUUCCUUUAUAACCACAGUCGCUUACGGCUCAUCUGUGAGCCCCUCUCUCUCUCUCUCCAAAUAACCACAACCUCUGUAACUCCGUUAUAACUUUCUCUCUCUCUCUCUCUGCACUCUUUCCUUCGAACUCUGUUAUCAUGGCUUUGACAGAACUCUCACCCUCAUAUACAACUCGUUUUCCGUCUUCUCAACUUGCACUAGUUUCAACUCGUCUCUAUAGUCACCAUCGGCUAGCACUGCGGUCACCCUCUCGAGCACGGAAUGCCAAAGUGUUGUGUUACAUUGCACCCAACGAAGUUCAGGCCCCGGUAACUCCGCAGGUUAACCAGACCAAAAAUAAGACCGAUUGCUUCGGAGUGUUGUCUAACUUAUGAUCUCAAAGCUGUGAGUUGUUCUUCUCUUGCUUACUUUCAAUGAGUUGGUGUGGUUCUCGAGAGGCUUCUAGUGAGUUGGUAGUCCGUUCGUAAGAGAGGCCAGCUGAACCUAGUCAUGAAGAGAUUAUAAGGGCAGGCAGCGGAUAAUCUGGAUCUACAGUUGCAUCAUCUGAAAAGGGAAUUUGUUAGGAUGGAUUUUUGAUUAGGCAAUCUGGAGACAUGUUUCAAUUCUGCCCUUUCUAAAUUAGCUCAUAAGGAUUCUUAUGUAGGACAUUUGGAUGAUUGGUAAGCGUCCUAGGAGGGAGUUGGGGAUUAAAAUCAUGGAGAUAGGUUCGUGUUCGGGUCAAUUUGAAGGUUUAGAUUCCGAUACCGUUGUUGUUGGGGGAAAGACUGGUAUGUUAUUUGGGGAAGAAUAUUCGGAAUGGAUCUUGGCGCCAGGUGAGUUUGCUUGUUUAUUUUUUGAGCUGGGUGGUGGUGUCUAGCCCUAAACAGCUACAAUUUGGCCCAUGAGAAUUUGUAGUUAACCAUCGAGGGUGUGGCUAACCGUUGGCAAUGGAAGUUUUUGAGGAAUUUCAUUACACAAUAUCUACCUGAUUUUAUCUUUUUAUGUGAAAUGAAAAUUCCUCAUGAGAAAGCUACUUGCUUGGCUUCAGUUUUGUGUCUUCCUAAUUGUGUGAUAGUUCCCCUAAUUGGUUUAUCUGGUGGUAUUGUUGUUUUUUGGAAGAAUGAUUUUCAGGUUUCUGUUAUUUGUUUAGUUCGAAUUUUAUCAUUUUGAAAAUUUUGAACUGUUCUGAAUCUUUGCCUUGGAUUAUUUCUUUUUUGUAUGGAGAGCCUAAGCGUAGUAGAAGAAAUAACUUCUAGAUGAAACUAUAUGAUUGUUUAAUGAAUAUAGAUGUUCCUUUCCUAGUA